rnacentral:rRNA from 1 species
ACACAUGCAGUCGAGGGGCAGCAUUUUAGUUUGCUUGCAAACUGAAGAUGGCGACCGGCGCACGGGUGAGUAACACGUAUCCAACCUGCCGAUAACUCCGGAAUAGCCUUUCGAAAGAAAGAUUAAUACCGGAUAGCAUACGAAUAUCGCAUGAUAUUUUUAUUAAAGAAUUUCGGUUAUCGAUGGGGAUGCGUUCCAUUAGUUUGUUGGCGGGGUAACGGCCCACCAAGACUACGAUGGAUAGGGGUUCUGAGAGGAAGGUCCCCCACAUUGGAACUGAGACACGGUCCAAACUCCUACGGGAGGCAGCAGUGAGGAAUAUUGGUCAAUGGGCGAGAGCCUGAACCAGCCAAGUAGCGUGAAGGAUGAAGGCUCUAUGGGUCGUAAACUUCUUUUAUAUGGGAAUAAAGUUUUCCACGUGUGGAAUUUUGUAUGUACCAUAUGAAUAAGGAUCGGCUAACUCCGUGCCAGCAGCCGCGGUAAUACGGAGGAUCCGAGCGUUAUCCGGAUUUAUUGGGUUUAAAGGGAGCGUAGGUGGAUUGUUAAGUCAGUUGUGAAAGUUUGCGGCUCAACCGUAAAAUUGCAGUUGAAACUGGCAGUCUUGAGUACAGUAGAGGUGGGCGGAAUUCGUGGUGUAGCGGUGAAAUGCUUAGAUAUCACGAAGAACUCCGAUUGCGAAGGCAGCUCACUAGACUGUCACUGACACUGAUGCUCGAAAGUGUGGGUAUCAAACAGGAUUAGAUACCCUGGUAGUCCACACAGUAAACGAUGAAUACUCGCUGUUUGCGAUAUACAGUAAGCGGCCAAGCGAAAGCAUUAAGUAUUCCACCUGGGGAGUACGCCGGCAACGGUGAAACUCAAAGGAAUUGACGGGGGCCCGCACAAGCGGAGGAACAUGUGGUUUAAUUCGAUGAUACGCGAGGAACCUUACCCGGGCUUAAAUUGCAACAGAAUAUAUUGGAAACAGUAUAGCCGUAAGGCUGUUGUGAAGGUGCUGCAUGGUUGUCGUCAGCUCGUGCCGUGAGGUGUCGGCUUAAGUGCCAUAACGAGCGCAACCCUUAUCUUUAGUUACUAACAGGUCAUGCUGAGGACUCUAGAGAGACUGCCGUCGUAAGAUGUGAGGAAGGUGGGGAUGACGUCAAAUCAGCACGGCCCUUACGUCCGGGGCUACACACGUGUUACAAUGGGGGGUACAGAAGGCGGCUACCUGGUGACAGGAUGCUAAUCCCAAAAACCUCUCUCAGUUCGGAUCGAAGUCUGCAACCCGACUUCGUGAAGCUGGAUUCGCUAGUAAUCGCGCAUCAGCCAUGGCGCGGUGAAUACGUUCCCGGGCCUUGUACACACCGCCCGUCAAGCCAUGAAAGCCGGGGGUACCUGAAGUACGUAACCGCAAGGAGCGU